rnacentral:rRNA from 1 species
UACAGAGGGUGCGAGCGUUAAUCGGAAUUACUGGGCGUAAAGCGCGCGUAGGCGGCUUUGCAAGUCGGGUGUGAAAUCCCCAGGCUUAACCUGGGAACUGCAUUCGAGACUGCAUUGCUAGAGUAUGGUAGAGGGUGGUGGAAUUUCCUGUGUAGCGGUGAAAUGCGUAGAUAUAGGAAGGAACACCAGUGGCGAAGGCGACCACCUGGACUGAUACUGACACUGAGGUGCGAAAGCGUGGGAGCAAACAGG